CUAUGUAAAGACUGUGGGACAUUUAA
rnacentral:piRNA from 1 species